AGUGAUCUGGUUCAUCCUAAUGGAUGGUUGUCAAAAUUAAUUUUCCCUGAGUUCUUGCCCUGUAAUUCUCAGUGAACUCAGUGAUACUAUAGGCCAGUCUCUAUUCAGAUGAAAACCACAGUGUCUGAAGAUGGGCAUUUGCAAGCAGAAAUGUAUAAAUAUUUUUGAAACAUUUAAGUCUCUAGGCCAGCAUUUGCUUUCAGAAGUGUCACCUUUCAUAUGCAGAUCCAUUUGCUUCUCUCUCCUCGCAGUGUAAAAAUAACCAGUCUUAAAUAAUUGCAGAUACUAUAUUGUAGGACCUCAGUAACCUGUAAUCAGCAAACAAAAGAACUUGCAGUUACUGCAAUUCCUGUUCUUCGCUCUACAGCACAGUGUGGUUAUUGCAUCCCUGACCAUCCCAAAGGCAGAAUUCCGACCCUGUGCACUUGCAGUGGAGCACUGAGCCCAGGCAUUCCCGAGGCAGCUGGGACAGGACAUGUGGUUCAGUAGCUCAGUUUUCCAUGUUCCAUAACAUCAUCAGUGUUUUCCAAGACCUUUUCCCACAGAGCCCUGCUUUGACUGAAGAACUGAAAUGGAUGGAAUCACAGAAACUCCUGGGGAUGACUAGUGCUCAGGUGACUUUGAAAACCUGGUCAGUUAUUUAAUGCAGCAAAGUGAAAAAAACCAAGUGUUUGUCAUGGGAAUUUUUAAAAACUUGUCGUAAAAUUACUUGGCAAAUCUCCUUUUUCCUCAGGUUGCCACCAUCUUCUACCAUUGGUCCUUCCCAAAUCUGCUACUAGGUAACUGAUGUAAAGGACUAAAAAGGAGAGUGGUAUGUUUUGUGUUUGGUAAACACUACAACAGACACAGAGCUUGAAAACCAGUUACUGCAAAUGUAUCUGGCCAGCCAAAUUGUUCUGCUGUCCUUUCUGAAGCCACAGAUACACACUGUCCUCCAGAGGUGCUGCCCUAUUUUCUCUCCAGCCUUCAGAUGGAUGGAAUUGUGAGGGAGACUGAGAGGACAUUUGCUAUUGGCACAGAAAUAAAUGCAUCAGGCUACAAAUUCUUACAGCCUAUUGAAGAAAACCUAUUUGUCACCACAGUGGUGGAACAAAUGUGGUCCAAUUCCUUUUGUAUGACAGGCAUCUAUUCUGUGACAUGGAAAUGUUAAUGCUUCCUGCUGCUUUUAAAAUCUGUCCCUCAUUUUGACUGUGGGUUUCAGUCUUUUCAACAAAGGCUUUUUUUUUUUUUGUUCAACUCACUCAAUCACCCAGAUUUCUUUAGUUGUGUUAUACCACCUGGAAUGGGAAAAAUGAAAUAUUUACAGAAAAGUGCUGUCUGCUAGAGGUGAAUUAUCAGAUCCACUUUUCUUGGCACAGAUGUUGGAAAGAACUUCAUAAAGAUUUUUAUAAUUUGUAGCUCAUUGACAAGUUUAAUCACUAGUUGUGUGGAGGCUUUCUGCAAAGCUCACAGUGUGUGGUGGCUGAUAGAGGUGUCCCUGUGUGUGCUGGGCUAGAUGGCAACGUUGAAGAGGCUGCCUGUGCCUUAAAGCAGACACUGGUAGGGUUAAAAAGGUGCAUGUGUUGAAUACAAGUAUGAAAAGGCCUGUUUCUCAUGCUUUCUUCUUCCAUGUCAGACAUUUUCAAAAGAAACCCUCGUUGCUCCUCAGACAGACAGUGCUCUGUGCUGGGUGGCAGAGCCAUCAGGACACCGAUCAUCUCACACUUAACGACCCAGCCAGACAUCAACCUGCUUUACUGCCUUCAGCUGGGGAGCUCUCCAAGGGGCUUGUCCUGCAGAAGUGUUGUCAGCCGGUUAACCGGGCAGAUCAAGUGCUGUGUUUCAAGCAGAAGAUGAGGUGAAGAAGAAAACUUAAAGAACAGUGUAGAAAUCUGCAGUCUGAACAAAAUAUGCUGAAAUGCACCGAAUGAAGACAGCAAUCCCAGUUAUUGCUGGAGUUUAUCUUUGUGAACAUUUCUUGAUGUUGAGUUGCUGGGAGUAUCUGUUUGACAAAUGCCACAGGCAGAGAAGCAAAUGGUCUGCAGGAGCACCCCAUGCACCUAAAGAGUGCCAGGAGAGGAUGGUGCCAACUUCAGCCGAGGAGGAUGGCCAGCAGCACGUCCUGAGCUGCUUCCCAGUUCAGCUUCAUUUCUCACCCACCUCUUCAUGUUCUGGUUCUGUGGGGUGACAGCUCAGGCCCUGACCUGUUGAAUUCUGCCCUAACCUGUCUGCACUGAGUCUCACCCAUCCUCUCUUAGAUUUAAUGUAUGAGGUAAGGCCACAGGUAUGUGAGAGUCUCAAGGGGAUGCUGACAGAGGACAGAGAGUGAGGAGGUCCACAGACGUGGAGUACACGUAUGAUGAUUGUAUCAGCUCCUGACCUGUUCCUGCUGUAGUAAAUGGCUGGAAUGACACCUGGUGGGAAUGGUGACUCCUUUCUGCAGCUUGGAAAAAACGGAAGAAAAAGAGGCAAAGGGAGUGGUGAUGGUAGGGAAGAUGCCCUAUCCCAUCUCUGUUGCACUCUCACUGUGAAGAGAGAGUGCAAAUUAAUUGCCAGACCAGUGGAGGGCUGCACAUCAGCUUUUAUACAGCUGAAGCAAAGUGGGGGGGCUCCACCUCCUCCUCAUUGGCUAUGACAGACCAAGACUUAGAAUUAAUAAAAGGGUAAGACUAAGUUCAGCUCAGGCUUUGUAAAAAAAAACAAAUUGGUUUUGUGCUGUGUGUUCUGUCAGCAGCCUCUUGGCUUCCGUGCUUGCAGUGAACUGGAGGAACCACAUUCUCCUGUGGUAAUAUUAUCUUUGUCUCACGUGUAUCCAAAUCCAAGCCACUGCUUUCCUGCCUGGUGUGCUGUUGACACAUUAUUCAGCAAAUCUCUGGGCAGGCAGGUUGGCUUGUGAAGGGCUCUGAUCUUGGUUCAUUAGAGCACUAUGAGAUACCUUCCUGUACUGCUGUGCUUUUUUUAUAUGGAGAAGAGUGAGAAAGAUUUGAAUAUACAUAGAUAAUGCCAUUACCAGUUAAUUUAAAAGGCCAAAUUGUGUUUUUUAACAAUGCUAUACCUUUCUAAGCAAUGUUCAAGAAAGACAGGGAUAUAUUUACAAGACAGAUGUUCCAAUUUCUGGCUACCCAAAAGUGAAAUAAUACCACUAUAAAUUUAAAUAGGAUGAGGCUUUAAUGGGUCUCCUAGAGAAAAAAAUAAGGUGUUUAUUAGUAGAAAUGUACUAAACUACCUGCAUUUGACAAAGUGCUAAUGGAGGAAAUUACUUGUAGAGAAACAAAUGAAAAUGUCAAUUAAAAAAAAGUAAUGGCUCUCUGAGUUGUGGGCUGUGGUUAUGGUUUUUUUCUUUUUUUUUAGAGCAGUGCUGGGUAUGUUUUUGUAUCGCUUGAAAAGGUUUUAAUUUGUCUGUGUUGCCUUAGUUCUGUGUGUAUUCGUGGGGGUUUUCUGCCCCCCCUCUUCCCCCUUCUGUAUCUGCUGCUGCUUAGCUGUACUUCAUUUGGACUGGAGGCUCAUUUAACAUUCUGGUCUAAUGCUUUUUCUCUAUUAUAUAUUUUACUUUUGCAAUUUAUUUAUGGGGCAUUUUCCAAUGAAAUUGUGUCCAAGAGCACAGUGCUUGCAUUUAUCAGCUUUGACUCACAUAAUCUUCUGCCUGAGUAACAAUUAAUAAACCCCCUUUAUGUCAGGGACAAUGGGAUUACAAUGGGUGCAAACUACUCAUGACGCCUCCCUCCCUAAUAAAAGGAACUAAUUUUAAGUGCCAAAAGAGAUAAUCCAAAAAACUUUUCCAAAGAAGCCCUACAAAUCUGUCAUGGUUUGCCCUGCUUGCUGUGAGCCUGCUGCUGGCUGUUGGAAUGAACUUCCCUGUGGUGGCUGUGGGAGCUGCCAUGUGGCUGUUUGCCUCCUGAGAGGCCCAUGCUGGGCCCUACAUAUCUGGCCUUGGAAAGCUUUCCUCUAUUAGCUCUUUGUAGUAGAUGUCUCAUAUUUGCCUAAGGAAUUUGCCCAUCAGCUGGAUGUUAUUUUGGUAGUGGCAGCAAA